GCCUGGGUGGCUCAGUCAGUUGAGCGUCUGACUUCAGCUCAGGUCAUGAUCCCACGCUUUGUGAGUUCAAGCCCUGCAUCAGGCU
rnacentral:tRNA from 1 species